CCCUUAGAUGUCCUGGGCCGCACGCGCGCUACGCUGAUGCAUUCAACGAGUCUACCUUGGCCGAGAGGCCUGGGCAACCUUUUAAACGUGCAUCGUGAUAGGGAUAGAUUAUUGCAAUUAUUAAUCUUGAACGAGGAAUUCCUAGUAAACGCAAAUCAUCAAUUUGCAUUGAUUACGUCCCUGCACUUUGUACACACCGCCCGUCGCACCUACCGAUUGAAUGGUCCGGUGAGGACUCGGGAUUUUUACCAGUUUCCUUCAUUGGGAAUUGGUGAGGAGAACUUGUCCAAACCUUAUCAUUUAGAGGAAGGUGAAGUCGUAACA
rnacentral:rRNA from 1 species